AGAUGUGAGGACAAUCUGUCUGUGACAUCUGUCACCCCACUGAUAGCCAGGGAUGAUUUGCUGAUCUGGCUGGCUAAGCAGAUGUUCCCUUCUUUGCUCAAUGCUCCAUAUGCAUCCCUCCCAAAGAUACAUGUUCGGUCAAGAGGACGACCUUCCCGGAUAGAGGAGGACCGGUCUUAGGACAAGGGUAUAUGCGUAACUGUGCCUCCCUGCUAGAACCUCCAAACAAGCUCUCAAUAACAACAACAACAACAAAAAAAAAACACUUAAAAUACCACCUUUCAAAUUCAUACAUUAAAUAACUUU
rnacentral:snRNA from 1 species